UGCGCGGGCAGGGAGCUGAGGCGCUGCAGCGCAGGCAGCUGGUUCAGCCUCAGAACUCAUGUAUAAAUGUGGGCAGGGAGGGUGCAAAGAGGAUGGAUCCAGGCUCUUCUUGGUGGAGCAAUAAGCAGCCGGCAGAAACCGAAGUUUCACGAAUAUGAGGAAAAACUUCUUUACCAUGCGGGUGACCACGCACUGGAACAGAUUGCCCAGGUCACAGCCAACUUAUCCAGCACGGACCCCAAGUGAAGCAGGACUGCCGAGCACCUUCUCCCCUGCAGCAAAACACCAGAAACCUCCCUGCUCACAAAUCACCCCCUUCCCUCCCUUUUUGUUACCGUUUCUCCCUAUUCUCCAGCUCCCUGGGCUUUGUUUCUCACUGCAACCCAGGCAAGAGCCGGAUCAAUCACCCGCUGCCACAUCCCAACAAACACACUCAAAAGUCAAAAGAUAACAAAGGAAAAGUGAUAGAAAUCCCUCCACCUCGGUGCUAACUUUCAAGGCAAGCAGGAAAGAGCAGGCAGAGAUGAAGUUCAGCCGGCAGGAGCAUCUUUGAGAGUUAGGAGAGGAGAAGUAGCUUACCUUGCCGUGACGCACAUGGAGGGGUUAUUUUUGUUUUCUGCUGCACUUGGAUUGCUGUGUCCUUUGCUUGUGACACUCCGGGACUCGAAUGGUGGCACCGCUGUGUGACACCGGGUAUUAGAGAGGCUGCUGGAGCCGUCCCUCCCACGGUAGGAGGGGCUAUGAGAGGCUUAAUAAAUUCAGUCCCCAAGGCUAGAAAAAUUAAAAUCUCAUCAUGGGACACAGGCAGGUCCUCGCUGCAUUGCUCCAGGAGACGCCAGGGACUUGGAGACGAACCUGGGAUUUGCUGAUUUAUCCCUCACCCACCCAGAACAGGAGAGACUGGUAUUCACAUCCCACUUGGCAGAAUUAGGUAUCCAAAGGAUGGGAUUUGAGGAAGUAUCCCAAAGGAUAUUUGGGAAAGAUGUGUCAUCAUUGACCCUCAGAAUUAAAGCUCCUGAACCUCCUCCAUGAAAAUAUUUUCCACAGCUCUAAGCCCCAGGCAGGAAUCCACUGCAGCGGUGCAAAACCUGCUUAUUUUACUUAUUUUUUUACAUGGUUUUGGCCUUUAAUAUCUAAAUCCUAUUAGAGUUAUAACUUCCUUUGAAGGGGGAGAGGGGAUAGGUCAAUACAACAAAAGCAGGUUGUGUUUUGUAACCUCCAAUGCACCCUGGACUUUCAGAGAGGCAAAAUCUCACCAUAAAGUUUCUCAGGAUAGGAAACUGUACAACCUCAUGCAGCUCCUCCUGCUCCAUAAAAGUUCUUCACUGCAUGAAAGGCUAAAAAAACAUUCCCUACAGCUUCAGAGGACUCUCUGAAACACCACUGGUGCAGUUUUUUCAUCCCUGUGGUUUCUCACAUUGAGUUUUUUCUUGUUAGGUGAAAAGACAGACCAGUCUAAAGUAAAAUCAGCAGACUGCUCUUGGAAACAGAGAGAGCAAGAACAGGACAGAAAUGAUGGCCCAGCAGUUUUUGAGAAAGAGAAACUUUUAAUUAGAAGAUGAGCUACAGAGAUGACAGCCUGGUUCACUCUGAAACCUAAUGAUGAGCAGAAGGCAUAUAAGAGUUCCUUUAA